rnacentral:misc_RNA from 1 species
GUGAAUCAUCAAAUUUUUGAACGCAAAUUGCACUCCCUGGUAUUCCGGGGAGUAUGCCUGUUUGAGGGUCAUUAUUACAAAAAUCAAAGCGUCGCUCUUUUUUUGUAAGGGUGAUCGCGUCGGGAUUGAGCCGUCUUUUAAGUGUUAGUUCCUGUCAAUGUAGCUUGAAUUUGAUCCAUUCGGUA